UGUAAAUAUUGCAAGCCGAAAAUGAUUCGAAUGCCGUAGUCUCUCGUUUGAAGUUUCUGCUUCUGUUUUAAAGGGACAGUCGCAUUCUCCGAGGUCAAUUUCGAAACUAAUGCGAAUUCUAAUUCCUUGCCGACCACUGAAAUGGGCCCGAAAAUACCAUUUCGAUCCGCGGCGUACUUUUCGCGCAAUCCGAUGAAAAGGAAACUGGAAUCCUUGCACCCUCGCUCUCUAAAAGUGGGAGCAAACGUCACCCGGAUAAGGCCAAUCAGCGCGCGCCCAGGGUAAAUGCGAGCCGCGCGCCUGUUUGCCGAUCGCGAAGCGAAGGCGAAGGUAGCAAACAUGGAGUCUGAAAACGAGAGUGAUGUUUCUCUGUCGGGGGGAGAUUCUGACGAACAUGUAAGCGGUAGCGGCUACGAGUUAAUGCUGUAUGAUGACCCAUACUCUACGGACCCAAUGCCUCUGGAACCCGCCGACCAUGCACGAGAUGUGGCUGCGGCUAACCCGCGGGAUGACAUUUUCAGGUGACGUAUCUCUUUGCAUGGUUGCCGUCGGAUGUGCGAAAUAGUUUAGAAUGUUGAAAUUGUUGUCGGCAGGUGUGUGUGUGUGUGGAGUCUGCGACCCACAGGAGCCCGACGAGCGCCUGUGUUGCCAUUCUGUUGCCAGGGUGGUAGAAAUGUGCAACAGUGCCGUCGUGCAGUGCAUAACACAACACCCAUUACUCAGGGACAUCUGCCUCCGUAGAGAGCUUCUAGUGGUGUACGCGCCUCAAUUCUGCCGCUAUGAUCAACAUUUUAGGCGACUCAAUCCCCAGGACCACAGGAGACCCCGGAACUAAGAAAGGAAUGCACAGGCUUUGAACUCCAAGGUUGGGAUAGUGUCUGUUCUUCUGUUCUGGCCAUUGUCUUCCCAACACUGUGGGAGAUUUGGCAGCUGCCUAAGGUUCACGGCAUACUCGUCAUUCACGAGAUGGGUCUGGGGAUACCUUGGUCCAAGGAACAGACGACAGGUUCCUGGAUGCGUUGUCCGAGCCAUCAGGAGGGAGUUCCCAUCUUCGUCCUAUCAAGGCUAUCAGCGUUAGGACCAUCGAAGCAAGGGUGUCUUGACAAGAGAGACAAGCUGGUGCAUACUGAUAGCUGAAACUGGAGACAUGUAGUGGCAAGACAUAAAUUUUGCUGACAUAGGCACACUUUGUGUAGAUGAGCCCUUGGUCAUCCCCCUUGCCUGCCA